GACGAACGCUGGCGGCGUGCUUAACACAUGCAAGUCGAACGGAAAGGCUCUUCCUUUGUGGGGUGCUCGAGUGGCGAACGGGUGAGUAACACGUGAGUAACCUGCCCUUGACUUCGGGAUAACCUCAGGAAACUGGGGCUAAUACCGGAUAGGAGCUCCUGCUGCAUGGUGGGGUGGGGAGAGUUUCGGGGGUGGGGGAUGGACUCGCCGGUUAUCAGAUUGGUGGUGGGGUAGUGGCUCACCAAGGCGUUGACGGGGCGCCGGGCUGAGAGGGUGAAACGGCCCAAUUGGGCAGAGAGACAGGCCAGACUCCUCCGGGGGGGGGCAGGGGGGGAAAUUUUACAAUGGGGGCGAGCCUGAUGCAGCGAAGCCGCGGGGGGGGUGAGGGGCUCUUGGGUGUGAACACCGUUCGCGCGGGACGAAGAGCUUGGUGGCGGUAAAUGGAUAAAAAGCACCGGCUAAAUACGUU
rnacentral:rRNA from 1 species